CAGUAGCCACGGUAAUACGUAGGGUGCAAGCGUUAAUCGGAAUUACUGGGCGUAAAGCGUGCGCAGGCGGUUUGUUAAGACAGAUGUGAAAUCCCCGGGCUCAACCUGGGAACUGCAUUUGUGACUGGCAAGCUAGAGUCUGGCAGAGGGGGGUGGAAUUCCGCGUGUAGCAGUGAAAUGCGUAGAUAUGCGGAGGAACACCGAUGGCGAAGGCAGCCCCCUGGGCCAACACUGACGCUCAUGCACGAAAGCGUGGGGAGCAAACAGGAUUAGAUACCCGCGUAGUCCCUGUCUCUUAUAC
rnacentral:rRNA from 1 species